UGGGGAAUUUUGGACAAUGGGCGAAAGCCUGAUCCAGCAAUGCCGCGUGUGUGAAGAAGGCCUUCGGGUUGUAAAGCACUUUUGUCCGGAAAGAAAUCCUUGGCUCUAAUACAGUCGGGGGAUGACGGUACCGGAAGAAUAAGCACCGGCUAACUACGUGCCAGCAGCCGCGGUAAUACGUAGGGUGCAAGCGUUAAUCGGAAUUACUGGGCGUAAAGCGUGCGCAGGCGGUUUGCUAAGACCGAUGUGAAAUCCCCGGGCUCAACCUGGGAACUGCAUUGGUGACUGGCAGGCUAGAGUAUGGCAGAGGGGGGUAGAUUCCACGUGUAGCAGUGAAAUGCGUAGAGAUGUGGAGGAAUACCGAUGGCGAAGGCAGCCCCCUGGGCCAAUACUGACGCUCAUGCACGAAAGCGUGGGGAGCAAACAGGAUUAGAUACCCUGGUAGUCCACGCCCUAAACGAUGUCAACUAGUUGUUGGGGAUUCAUUUCCUUAGUAACGUAGCUAACGCGUGAAGUUGACCGCCUGGGGAGUACGGUCGCAAGAUUAAAACUCAAAGGAAUUGACGGGGUCAUAGCUGUUUCCU
rnacentral:rRNA from 1 species